GGAAGUGUGGCAGAGAGGUUGAAUGCACCGCUUUCGAAAAGCGGCAAGGGGUAAAACUCUUCGUGAGUUCGAAUCUCACCACUUCCG
rnacentral:tRNA from 2 species